UUUGUGGUCGGAGAAUUUGCAGAGUCACACACACAUGUUGAGGUCGACUCUUGGGUUAGAAUGGAGAAGAAGGCCGAGACACUUCUUUCGCUUAUCUCCAGACAGCUUCCGAAGACCCUUAUCACGACGUCUCGCAGCGAAUGGUGACGGUUGCUGUUUUCUAGCAUGAGAUUAGUGUUCGUUCUCCACCUAGUGCUUACUUUUGUGUACAGUUUACUUGUGGUUCACAGUCCGCUUGUGAGGUGAAUCAAUGGAGUUUAAGGUUCUCUACUUUUCUCAUAUCGAAGCAUGAGCAGGAGAUUGUGUCUGAGGAAUUGUGAUGGUUUUCAUAAAAUCUCAGGAAUUGCAUCAAGAAUGGGACUGUAGAGCCGUCACAGUAUGAUAAAGCUGUUGUCUUCUUUCACUUGGAUUCAAAAAGGUGGUUUUGCCUUUAAGCAUAGAAAGGGAAGUAGAUGCUUAUCUUGAGGCUUUUUUCGAUGAAAGAGAAGACGGGUAUCUACGAAUACCUGAAACCUCUAGAAAUGAAUAUUUGGCUACUGGUAAUAGCCACUAUCCGUUGCCAGAAAAUAUCUUAGACCAAACAAAGAGUGUCCAACUGAAGAGUAUGCAACAGAACUGGCUGGUUGGUUGCUCUAAAGCUUUAAUCUUCUAUUGGCUGUAAUACAUUAGUGUGUCUCACUCUCACUUUCUUUCGUUCUUGCAGGUACCGUAGCUUUCUUUUCUUUUGAUCUUCCAUUGCAUUCUCAUGUUUAGUUUGCUGAGAAAAAAAAGAUCAUUCUUCUUUGUUGUUACCUCGCAGUAGUGGGGACGUUCGGGUUAUAACUGGGCAACGGUUACCAAGAACGGAACCACGGUAAAGACUGGUGAUGUUGUCUCUGUUAGCGGGAAAGGGAGACUCAAGAUUGGAGAGAUCAAUGAGACGAAAAAAAUGGAAAUAUGCAGUUGAAAUCAUCAGAUAUCUGUAGAAUGAAGCUGUAACAACAAGUUAUC